rnacentral:lncRNA from 1 species
UAUCAUUCAUUUCUACGCGGCCAUCAGAUGUAACGCCCCGGACCUUAUUUGACCAUUUACAGUCACUUGGACCGUAAAUGAGCAUCAUGUUUUUUCUUUUACCUUCGUAUUCAAGUUUUUUGUGGCUCUAAAAUUUGACUUUUUCCUUCAUUCAAAAUUUGAGAAUACUUUUUUCAUAAAAGUCGUAGAGGACGUUAAAUGGAGUUCGUGGACACGUGGCACACUUAAAACGGAGUUCGUAUGAAGAAGUUAUGGUCUAAAAACGAAAGUUGCUAUUUUGGUUGGGGGUAUAAAAAUGGAAACUUACCGGAUGGGGUAAGGUAAGAAAUCAGUUUUCACUCUCUCUCUCUCUCUCUCUCCUCCCUCCCGCAUCUCUCUCCUCCGCCGGAUUCCCGGCCUCUGUUCGCCGCUGUCCGGCCAAGAUAGGCGGCAAGCUUGGUAUCAAUAUGAAGCUUGGAACAUCCUCUUCAAGUCUAGGUAGGUGGCUGGUCGUGUUGCGCCGCCAUGAAGGAGAAAUCAGUCCCGAAAGCCACGGUUGUGCGUGGUGGAGUUUCGCCGGGAACUUUCUUUUUCGGCCACCAUAACCGGAGCUGUUGGUUUCAUUUGGAAGCUCUCCUCUCGUACAGCAAACCCUUAAAAGGAUUCGACCUAACUCGAGCUAGGUAAGGAGAAUCAAAGGUUUGAAAUUCUAGGGUUUUAAAUUUGGGAUUUUUAUUGUUUGGCUUCGAUUACCCUAGUUAUGCUUGAAACUGGACUUUGUGGUAGUUAAGAAAGUUGUUUGGAAUGUUGAGAGGAAGAUUGUGUCAAAAUUUGGUAGUCAUUGGGGGUCGCCGAAAUUGGGCUGGCCGGCUGCCGCUGCUUAGGGGUAGUUUUUCAUGUUUUUGAGUUUCUUUUAAUGAGAGGAGUUUAAUGAUGUGAAGUUUGGAAUUUUUGGAGGAGUUUUGGUUAGGUUAAAGAUUUUUCAAAGAUUGAGAAUUUUAGCGGCUGUUAGAAUGAAAAUCCGGUCGUUGGAUUUCCUUGGUAUUUAUUCUAGAAUGUUAGAAUUGAUGAAUUAAGGUUGUGGUGGAGUUUGGUGGGAAUCCGGUGAGCUUAACUCUAGUAAGCGUAGUGAGUUAAGUGGAAGAGUUUUGGUGUUUAUAUUUAAGUAUUUAUUUUCUGGAAUUAAAGUUUGGUUCUAAGCAUGGUUAUUGUGCCAAGAUACGAAGGGAACCUCGCUUGAGUAGCGAUUCGGAUAUCGUCAGGCUUAUGCUUAAAUUUCUGAGUGGACAUUUUGGUUUUAAAUAAAUAUGCAUGCAAGAUUUAAUAAUUUAUUAUUUUAUUUUCCGCGCUUAUAUUAUAAUUUCGGCUUAUGAAAUGAUCUUGGAAAGUAUUUGAGUUUGAAGCAUUGUUUAAUUAUGGGUCAUGAUUUAUGGAUUUGAGCUCGGAUUACUAAUUUGGUAUUUGAGUUUGGGUAUUCUUUAUGAAUUCCGGAUUUCAUUAUGAUUGUUUUAUUUGUGGACUUGAGAUUUAUAAAAGAUUUUCGAAAAUGAGAUUUUCGGUAGUUCGCUAUUUAUAAUUUUCGUAUUUAUUUGUGGAAUAUCGAUCUUGACCUUGAGAAUAUUUUAGCGAGUAUUUUGGUUUGAGAUAUUAAUUACGAUUUUUACUUGUUAAAUAAAUCUCGCUUAUAUUAUGGCUUUAAGAAUAUUUUGACGUGUGAGACACGUCAUUGAGUUUUAAUACAAUUUCUUAUGAUGAUUUUUAAGUACAGUUAGGAACCGUACCAUUCCUAUGAUCUUCGGGAAGUUUAAUGGAUUUAAGUGAUUUCGUAUAUUUUUAGUCACUAUAAUAUAAGGUCACUUAUAUUUCAUUACUAGCUAGCUUUAUUAGCGGUUCUCACCAGAAGUGAGUUGAGCGCUUAACGUGGGACGGUACUAUAGCCUAGAAGGCAUCGAUCAGAUAUUAUUAUUAAUUACUAGCUAGCCUUAUUAGUGGUCCUCACCAUAGGUGAGUUGAGCGCUUAGCGUGGGGCACUAUUAUAGCCUGGGAGACACCGACCCGAGCCUUGGAGGCUCCUCUGACAUGGUGAUAACUCUUCCCCUUAUUUUAUUUUUCUCAGUUAUGUAUUUAAUUAACCAGUGGGGCUGGUUUGUCUAUUUUUAUGGAAUUCUGAAUUUAAAAGUUAUUUGUAUUACCAAAGUUGUGUGCAGCUAUGUUUUAAAAGUUUUAAAUUUUGUUAAAUUAUUUAAUUAAUUUUUGUCCACUCGCUCUAACGUUUUUAAAUUACUUUCCCUUGGGCCCUUUGGUUUUAAAUGUCCAGUUUGCAGGUUAAGUUUAAUUGAGGUCGAGCGUACAUAGAGUCGAGGCAUAGUUAGAGGCUGCUUCCAUUUAAUCUUUAUUCAUUGUUAUUCUUUCAUUAUUAGAUGUGCUCUGAUAACCAGUUAGUGAAUUAAUGUUGUCUUUGUUGUUGGUUGUGGAAUUCCAGAAGUUUAGUAUUUGAUAUUUUGGGAGAUGAGAUAAACUUAGGGAGCAAGAAAGCUCCAGGUGUUGAGGUUGAUUUGUUUGGUUAUAGAAGUGUAAGUUGGAUUUUUUUUAGGUAAGGGUUGUCCAUUUUCAAGGUAGAUUAUGUCGAAUUUUCGGUAAAUUUUUCUUGGAGGUGGACCUCGCAGGAUUUACCUCGGGUUUCAGGGUGAAAUUCAGGAUGGGUCCUGACAUCAGACAUCCACGUAAAUAUUCCAACAGAUAUGAAUUAGAUAUGAAGACCAAGAUUCAUGGUGGUCACAUUCUUUUUCAAUGCUUUGUGAAAUUGCUUCAUUACAAGUUUGUCAUUUUGAUGUUAUCAAUUUGCUUUAUCAUAAUAAUACAAUUUAUAUAAUAUGCUAAUAAAUAAUCAUUUAUUUUAAUUACAUAUGCAUAGCAUAUAACAUUAUAACAUGUCACAACGAUCGCAAAAUAAUUUAAUCAAGUAACAUGCUUAGUAUCAUGCAUUAGCAUAAAAUUUAACGAAAACGACAACUUUAACGUAAAUCAUACUUGUGAGUCAGCCAAAUAGACUACGUGUGAAGUGGUUACUCUCGCAAUUAACGUUUUUGAUCCUCGCGUCAUAAUUGGUUAAUCACAUGAUUAGCACGUUAAUCAUUUAUAUUUGAUUCAAGGGUAAAUGCCCAUUUAGUACUAAUUUAAACCUCUCGUUCCCCAUUCCAAUGAUAAUUUUUUUCAUGAGCCCAUUCCAAUAUAAGGUAACCGUUUUUAUGCCCAAAUGCACAAAUCUUACUAAAGUCUUAACAAACCAUAUUAUUUUAAGACUAUUUUACCUUCACCCCUUAAACAUGUAUAAAGAGAGAAAGUGGAAGAGAGAGAAUACUUGGCCGGAACCACACCGGUCACCAGCCGCUGGACUCCAGUCACCUGUCGCCGGACUUUGGUUGCCGGAUUUCCAGUCACCGGUAACUCGAUUACUAAACCCCAGUAACUCAAAUUUUCUCCGGUUGUCGGAUUCCAGUCACCGGUAACUCAGUUACUGACCCCUAAUAACUCAAAUUUUCUCCGGUCGCCGGAUUCCGGUCACCGGUAACUCGGUUACUGAACCCUAAUAAUAAGUUACUCACCCCUAAUAACUUGGUUAUUGACCCCCAAUAAUCAGUUAUUGACCCAUAAUAAUCAGUUACUAACCCCUAAUAACUUAGAUACUAAUGUCACAUCCCGACUCUUAAAUUUUUACCUUAUUUACUACCUUAGUAUUAGUAACAGUUUUACCGUCUUUGUCAAUGAGUUUAUAGUUUCAAAAGUCCCCAGAGGGGUUUUGAGGGAUGAUUAUUACAGAGGAAUUAUUCGUAGGAGAAAUAUUUGACGACGGUAAAAGGAUAAAUUUUAGCUAGUAAAAAGGUAAUUUUUUUUAUAGGGUAUUAUUUUUUGGGGUGUUAAUUUUUAGUGUUGGGUUUUAAAUGGUGGGUUGGGGAACCGGUUUGGAAAGCCCAAACCUUAAUUUCUCUCUUUUACCCCGACUCUCUCUCCUCUCCCCCGAUUCUUCUUCCUUCGCCGGUGUUCUCCUCCCUUGCUUGCCGCCGUCCGGCCAGCUGCGGCCGCCAAGUUGGUCCCCAUCGAACCACCACCCUCUCCUCUUCAUUUCUGGGUAGGUGACCGAACCCCUAGCGUCGCCGAUCGGGAGGAAACUAUCUCUAAGGGUCCGACUGCCGUAGCUGUCCAUUGCAGGAGCUCCCUCCUCCGGCCACCCUAGCCGGAGCAACUUGGCUUGUUUGAAAGCCCUCCUCCCGUGCAGCAAUCCCUCCAAAGGAUUCACUCCCCUUUGGUCUAGGUAAGGAGGUUUUGGUGUUGGAAACUCUAGGGCUCAAUUUUUUGUUUUUGUUCGAUUGCCCUAGUUAGGCUUGGAAUUGAUGUUUAUGUUAGUUAGGGAAGUUGUAGAGGGGGUUGAGAGGAAGAUGCUGUCAAAAUUUCAUAUGAAUUGGAGGUCACCGGAGUCGGCCUCCGGCCGCUGCUGCCGGCGGAGCUGGCGCCACCGCCGCCACUACUUGGGGGUUUUGUAUAGUUGUAAGUGUGUUAUAUUAAGGGGAGUUUAAUGAUGUGAAGUUUGAAAUUUUUGGAGGAGUUUUGGAUAGGUUUGAGAUUUUUUCAAAGUUUGGUAUUUUGGCGGAUUAAUAAGGUAGAAUCCGGCCGUUUGAUUAAUAAGGUAGAAUCCGGCCGUUUGAUUAAAAUCGUAUAAUCUAUGGAAGGGUGUAGUUAAGGCUGCUGGUUUUAGUGUUGAGGUGUGGACCGUAUCGAAGUUAGGCAAUGAUGAGCGUGAGUUGGCUCUCGGUUAAUUUUGCCUAUUUUGUUUAAAUAUUGGAUUUUUAGUUGGGAAAUUAAUUAUAUAUUUGUGCCAAGGUUCAAGGAAACCUCACUGGAGUGGCGAUUUGGAUUUUGUCGAGCUUAUGCCUAGAGUUGUGAGUGGACCUUUGUUUUAAUUAUUUUGUUGAUUAUUUAUUUCUUCUAAUGAGACUUAUUAAUUUCUCGGCUAUUUGACAAUUUUUCCUCAUUUGGAGAGAUCCCGAAAAUGAGAUUUUCGGUGGAUAUGUUUAUUGGAUGUUAUGAGUAUAGUAUGUAUAUAAAUGCUAGCUAGCCCUCCGUGCUUGGUCGGUCAUAACGAGGUAAAAUGCCAUUAUAGCGUGACGUGAGUGUUAGACACAAGCGUCAUAGCCCUAUAUGAAAACUACUUUCUUUUCUGGUUUAUUUAGGUUUUCAUAUAGGGAGUCCACACGUAUAUAUACACCGUCCUCUACGGUCAUAAUGUGGAAAAAUUCCAUUAUGGCGCGAAGUGAGCGUUAGACGCAAGCGUCGUAGCCUUGUAUGAAUUUCUAUUUUUCUAAUUUGUUCAUAGAAUUCAUACAAGGAGUCUGACGAGUGUAAAUACAUACACAUAUAUGUUUAUAUAUAGUUUAGCCUGAGAGGCUCCAUUUUAUUUGAGUUGGUGACUAACCGGAGCUAGUCGUGAAAUUGCCAGUUUAUGAGUUGAGCGCUUUUGAGCGGACACAUGCAGUAUAAUUUCUUUGGAAAUUAAAAUGGGAAUGCAUAAAAAAUUUUUAUUAAUUUAUUUUUGUCUACUCACUCUAACGUUUUCAAAUGUUUUCCUCUGGGCCUUUCGUUUUAAAAAUGCCUAGCUUGCAGGUUAGCUUAGUUGAGGUCGGACGUAGAUGGAGAUGAGGCAUAGUCAUCAUAUAGCUUCCGCUUGUUAAUUUAUUAUGUUUCCUUUCUUCCUAUUAGAGUUGCUCUGAACCUAUAAAUGAUUGGUUAUGAGAUUUGUUUAGAUUAGUAAAUUUUUGGGUGGUGUUAUGAUUUGGGGAGCACGAAGGCUCCGGGAGUUUAAAGUUGGAUUUAAAUUUUCAGGAGUGUUUACAGGUUUUAUUAGGAAGGGUUGUCCAUUUUCAAGGGAGGUUAUGCCGAUUUUUCGGUAAACUUUCUUUGGAGGUGGUCCCUGCAGGAUUUACUUCUGAUUUCAGGGUGAAGUUCGGGGUAGGUCCUGACAGUUGGUAUCAGAGCACUAGGUUAUUCGAUUCCUUUCUCUUUUUAGUACUACCUCAUAUUAUUGGUCAUACUUAGUGUCUAUAGAGUGAUGGUCCGACCGCGGCGGAUCUAUUAGCAUUAUAUGCUUUAGACACUAUGUGUUGAUUAGGUUUGUGAGGUAGUUAUUCUUGUCUUAUUUAUGGACAGUAUUGUGCCAUAAAUGUCUAUAUCUUUAAGACUAUGCCUCCGUACGCCGACCUCUUAAGUAAAUCUUUAUGCUUCGAGUAUUGAAAAGGUGUAUGGAUUAUGCCUUUUCUCAAGGGUUAUCGAGUUGAUAUCAUAAAUUGUUAUUGUUUAAUUGCAAGUUGGGAACUGGUGGAUUUCCUGCAAAUAUACAUGGUGGAUGUAAUAUAGUGAAAUGGAAGAGAAGGGGUUGUCGUUCCCACGAGGAUAUUAGUUCAAUUCAAAUUAUGAAAUACCUAAACUAACUAUACUAAAACACACAAAUCACGAUAACAAUUUAAAGAAACAAAGAAACAAUAAAAUAAGUAAACAAAUAAUGAUAAAUAAAUCUAGGGCGUCAGAAUCAACCACUAACAAUCCUAUUUAUGCUUUGAUGCAACUAACAGACUCUUUCGUUUCUCUAGCUGACAAUUCCCGUAUCUAAGUCCUUCUCAGGUAUUCUAGACCAUAAUUUUCCUUAAGUGUAUGAUGCACUCCCUCUCGGAUAAAGGUCGUAUAUCCUAACUAUGCAGUUUAUCCUUCUCAGGUAUAAAUUUAACAUGCAGGACUCAUUACGUACUAGAAAAUAAGGGAAUCAAGCAAACCGUUAUUCUUUCUCAAGCAACAAUGUAAUUCACCACACUUAACCACAAGAAGCUAUAUAAAUUAUAUUGCAUCUCUGCUUCAAAUUCAUCUUCCAAUUACUAAAUGCAAAGCCCUAAGGUGAUCAAUCAAAGAACUUAAACAUCAAGCAUAAAAUUCAACCAGUGAUUAAGCAUUCAUCAUUAAGAAACUAUAAAUCUAUUAAUUA